GACGAACGCUGGCGGCGUGCUUAACACAUGCAAGUCGAACGCUGAAGCUCAGCUUUUGUUGGGUGGAUGAGUGGCGAACGGGUGAGUAACACGUGAGUAACCUGCCUCCUUCUUUGGGAUAACGCCCGGAAACGGGUGCUAAUACUGGAUAUUCACUGGUCUUCGCAUGGGGGUUGGUGGAAAGGGUUUUUCUGGUGGGGGAUGGGCUCGCGGCCUAUCAGCUUGUUGGUGGGGUGAUGGCCUACCAAGGCUUUGACGGGUAGCCGGCCUGAUAGGGUGACCGGUCACAUUGGGACUGAGAUACGGCCCAGACUCCUACGGGAGGCAGCAGUGGGGAAUAUUGCACAAUGGGCGCAAGCCUGAUGCAGCGACGCCGCGUGAGGGAUGGAGGCCUUCGGGUUGUGAACCUCUUUCGCUCAUGGUCAAGCCGCAACAAUGGUUGUGGUGAGGGUAGUGGGUAAAGAAGCGCCGGCUAACUACGUG
rnacentral:rRNA from 1 species